ensembl:lncRNA
UCAGGAACAUCCCUUCCUUACGGAGUCCCUUAAUUUACAACUUAACUGCAAACAUAGGAGAUGGUAGUUCCAAGAAGGAACAUUUUAUCGUCUUUGUUUUUAAUCUCAAGAAUGGUACCUGCCAUCAGUGAAUGACUUGUUGCACUGCUUUCAUUGAAGUGUUCUUCAUUCCCUCGGCAAUAUGAUUGUGAUGACUGAAAAAGGGAACCUGUGCUACUAUUUGUACCAUCAUCUUCACGAAAAUCAAAAAAUGCUUUUUAUGAUGUAUGCAGACACUCUUCAUGUGUGUUUCAGUGGACAUUCCUUGCAGAUACAAAAAACUGAGAAAGCUCACUUUUGGAAAGUGACCUAAAAAGUGUCAUUGAAGUGAAUUUUCAGUAGGCACGACGAUUGUUUUCAUGGUUGCUGUUGGAUCAUGUCUCAGGAGCUGGAAUGACAGACAUUACUGAACAAAGAAAUCAGGAUAGUGAAACUUAAAGAGUUUCAUCUCAGUGCUUUCAUAAGUAUGAAGUGCAUAUAUUUAUAAUUUUCACUAAUCACAGGAAUAUUCCCUGUCUAUACUUGCAUUUUUUUCUAUCAAUUGACACUUAAACAAUUAUUUUUGCAAGUUGGAAAAAAAUGCAGUAUUAAUUUCAUUUGCAACAAACUUAAUAGAUUAAUUAGGAGAGAAUAGAUAUCUUUAAAAUUGAGUCUUCUAUCCAACUGCAAGUUAUAGCUGAGGUGGUACCAGUUUAAGAAGUGAGAACUUCUUCACUGACUGAUAUUUGCAUAUAAUUCCAAAUCAUUGUGCUUAUUUACUAUUUUUGUAGACGUCAUUCUUCAAAAGUGCUGCAUCUUUCAUAGUCAAGGAGGACAAAGACAUCUUUCCUGCAGUCUCUUCUUCUGUACUCUCAGGUGGUGACCAUGUGGAUAAUGGGAUUAUAGCCAAAUGGUGGUUUCAUCUACAGCAUCACCAAAAUGCUGUUGUUAUUGCUUCUUUCUGGGAUCUUCUUGCAUCUUUGCUUCUCAAGGGGCACAACUUUUAUAGAAGUAUGUCCAGGAAUAGAAGUGACCUGCUUUUUGGCUUGGCACCUAGUUCAUUGAAACAGAGCCAACAAGAAUGAGUGAGUCACUCAGUGAUAAGAAGCAACCUGUGGCCAUUUAUCUACUAUCUUCCAUUCCUACUUCCUAGACUUGAUAAGUAGUAUUUGUAGUAUAGUUGUCAGUAACUUUUUGAGCUUAUAUAAGUUUAUGUGGAAUUCAUUUACAAAUGUGUGAUUAUUAUGAUAGAUGUUAUUUUGUAAAUUUCAAGGUUCUUUAAUGUGGCAUGGACAUGUUUCCAAAUCAAUAAAUAUAGCUUACCCACAGACUUUAUGGGAUGUAAAGUAUGUAUUACAAUGGGUGAAUCCAUUUCUCUGUUUUGGGAAAGCAGGUUCAUUUUUUUUUGUUUUGUUGCUACAUAUAAUGUUGACUAUAUGUAUAUUCUAAUGCAGUUGGUCUCCUAAUUCUACAGGAUAGAUGUCUAGCUGUUGCAUUGUUGGAUCAUCAGUUUCGUUUUAGUUAGAUGCUAUGAAAUUGCUCUUGAAAAUGGUGUCUUCUGCCACCACAGAACGGUGUUGUUAUGAAAGUGCCAAUUUUCAUAAAAACUUGUGCACAAUGGGUAUUAAGAAUUUUUUAGGUCGGGCACAGUAGCUCAAGCCUGUAAUCUCAGCACUUUGGGAGGCCUAGGCAGGUGGAUCACCUGAGAACAGGAGUUCCAGACCAGCCUGACCAACGUGGUGAAAUCCCAUCUCUACUAAAUACAAAAACUUAGCUGGGUGUGGUGGCAUACACCUGUAAUCCCAGCUACUUGGGAGGCUGAGACAGGAGAAUCGCUUGAACCCAGGAGGCGGAGGUUGCAGUGAGCUGAGAUUGCACUACUGCACUCCAGCCUGGGUGACAAGAGCGAAACUCCAUCUCAAAAAAAAAAAAA